GACGUACGCUGGCGGCGUGCUUAACACAUGCAAGUCGAGCGGAAAGGCCCUUUCGGGGGUACUCGAGCGGCGAACGGGUGAGUAACACGUGAGUAAUCUGCCCUUCACUUUGGGAUAACCCCCGGAAACGGGAGCUAAUACCGGAUAUGACCGGCAACCGCAUGGUUUGUUGGUGGAAACUUUCUUGGGUGGGGGAUGUGCUCGCGGCCUAUCAGCUUGUUGGUGGGGUAAUGGCCUACCAAGGCUUUGACGGGUAGCCGGCCUGAGAGGGUGACCGGCCACACUGGGACUGAGACACGGCCCAGACUCCUACGGGAGGCAGCAGUGGGGAAUAUUGGACAAUGGGCGGAAGCCUGAUCCAGCAACGCCGCGUGAGGGAUGACGGCCUUCGGGUUGUAAACCUCUUUCAGCACCGACGAAGCGUGAGUGACGGUAGGUGCAGAAGAAGGACCGGCCAACUACGUGCCAGCAGCCGCGGUAAGAC
rnacentral:rRNA from 1 species